ACGUUUGAAAGAGUUGCAACUUGAUCGCUGCCCCAAACUGAGAGCUCUCCCAUGGCAGCUUGGGAAGGAGGCUACAAGCUUGACAGAGCUCCAAUUAAGAGAUGUGAGCAGCCUUUAAGGUGGUGGAGAACUUUCCUUUCCUCUCAAAGAUCCUUGUAAUCGUAAGUUGCGAAAGCCUAGAGAGUGUCUUGAACCUUCCCCAAGCGAGAGAUCUGCGGGUAGCUGUCCAAACUUAUGACAUGUCGUGGAAUUGGGUAAUUUGGAGCAUCUGUGGCUGGACGUGGGUAUGCAGGACAUCUCCUCGCUGUGGGUGCCCGAGCUUAAACAACAGCGCCAACAACUCCAUGGGGAAGACCUAGACAUCUACACUUAUGCACUCGACCUCGAGGUUGAGAGACGCAUGGUUAGGUGGCAGCGGAGACAAAAGGUAUUUCAUUUUGGGUUUGCUCUAAUCUCCAUCUUGUCUGAAUUUUACACUCCAGAAUUACUGCAUACAUGUCCAUUUAAUUAACACUCCUUUGUUUUUCUGUAUUAUGUAGUUUUGAGUCACAUCUUUAUUUCUGGAUGGAAUAGUACUGAUCAUGAAACAUCACACAAUCACGUGAGCUGAUGUUGGAACACAACGAGAAGGAAUGACCAAUUGCAUGCUUACUGUGACGUCCGGUCCAAUUUGGUUGAGGUCCAGUAGCGGUUCAGAAUGCAGGUGCGCAUAUUUAGUACCAUCUUGCUAAUUAAGCAAAGCUGAAGCCAACUUAUAAACCAUUGUACUCUAGCCAUAGCAUUUUCGGGUUAAUCCUUUUUAUACGAAACGAGAAUAAAAAUGUAAACAGGGUGGUAUGUGUACGUGUGCUCGAAAGGGUUGUGUGAUGCGGCUUGGAGGACACCGCGUGUGGUUUCGGCUUCACGUCGUCGUCGCCAUGGGGUGGUGGUUCGCACGUCGCUUUAGGCCUUUAGCUGCUUGUAUUGUUUAUGGCGUGUCUUUUUUACCACGACACGCCAGCACUUACGCCAUAAGUCCAUGACUCGGCGACGAUCGAGCUCACAGCCGAGCAGAGCAGAGGUAGAUAGGCGACACUGCAGUAGGGCUCCAGGCGGUUAACCUCGACAGCGGCAUCCUCUCCGAUCCUCGCCUCGCCAUGGACGCUGCCGGGUCGCCGCCGUCCCCCUCGCGGUCGCUGCGCAUCGUGAUCUGCCCGUGGCUGGCGUUCGGCCACAUGCUCCCGUACCUGGAGCUCGCCGAGCGCCUGGCCUCGCGCGGCCACCACGUCUCCUUCGUCUCCACGCCGCGCAACCUCGCGCGCCUCCCGCCGCGGCGGCACGUCAUCGACCUCGUCGCGCUCUCGCUCCCGCGCGUCGAGGGCCUCCCCGACGGCGCCGAGUCCACCAACGACGUCCCCGGCGACCGGUUCGAGCUGCUCUGGGAGGCCUUCGACGGCCUUGCCGCGCCGUUCGCGGAGUUCCUCGCCGCCGCGUGCGCCAUCGACGCUGACAACGGCAACAGCAAGCGGCCCGACUGGGUCCUCGCCGACACAUUCCACCACUGGGCCCCCGCCGCCGCCCGCGAGCACGGGGUGCCGUGCGCGAUGCUCUUGCCGACCGCCGCAUUGAUCGCCGCCUUCGCCUGCGGGGCGCGGGGGCACGCGGAGCUCCCCGCCGCCACCACCGUGUUCGAGCAUGCGAUCGUCGUGGGCGGAGGGCCGCCACCCGGCAUGCCGCGCUACGAGUGGGAAGGGGACGCACCGCUCUUCGCCGUCCUCGGCGCGUCGGGCCUGAGCAUCGCCCGGCGCACCUCCCUGACGCUCGAGCAAUGCACGAUCGCGGCCAUCCGGAGCUGCCCGGAGUGGGAGCUCGACGCGUUCCCGCUGGCAGCGGCGCUCCUCGGCAAACCGCUCGUCCCGCUCGGCCUCCUGCCGCCGUCUCCCGACGGUGGCCGCGCCACCGACGCACACAGGGAUGACGCCGCCGUGCGGUGGCUGGACGUGCAGCCGGCCAAGUCCGUCGUGUACGUCGCGCUGGGGAGCGAGGUGCCGCUGCGCGUGGAGCUCGUGCACGAGUUGGCGCACGGGCUGGAGCUCGCCGGGACGCGCUUCCUCUGGGCUCUGAGGAAACCCAGAGGCGUCUCCGACGCCGACGUCCUCCCUGCCGGCUUCCUAGAGCGCACACACGGCCAUGGGCUGGUGACCAUGGGGUGGGUUCCUCAGAUCGCCAUACUGGCGCACGGCGCCGUGGGCGCGUUCUUGACGCACUGUGGCCGGAACUCGCUCAUCGAAGGGCUUCUGUACGGGCACCCUCUGAUCAUGCUACCGAUCUCGGCCGACCAAGGGCCGAACGCGCGGCUCAUGGAGGGGAAGAAGGUAGGGUUGCAGGUGGCGAGGAACGAGGAUGAUGGAUCUUUUGACCGCCAUGGCAUCGCGAGCGCGGUCCGGGCCGUCAUGGUAGAGGAAGAUACCAGGAAGGUCUUUGUGGCAAAUGCGAUGAAGAUGCAAGAGAUUGUAGCCGAUAAGGAGCUCCACGAGAGGUACGUCGAUGAGUUUGUGCAGGAACUUAGAUCCUACAUCACUGAUGGCAACUCUACUCAGGCUGAUGAGACGUAGUAUUAGUUUUGCAGGAUUUUAUGUGUCUGUUUAAUUCGAUGCAGUUUUUAAACGUUGCUAGUGAUUGUUGCCGAUACACUGCUAGAUGGAAAAAUCAUGUAUCGAUUAAGGAAUUGGGCUGUUAGUGGAGGCUGUAGUGAAGAAUUGUAUGUCAUAUUUGAGACAACGACAUCAUAACAGUAUGUACAUGCUUUGUAUUUUAAAAAAGGCGCCUCCUACUCGCUAAACUCAUGCUGAUUAGUUUAACCCUAACAAACUUAUCCAGAUGUUGAGAGACUUAGAUCUUGUUUGUUUUUACUUCUCUCAGUCAUCCUUGGAUUAUAAUCUAAACGAAGAUUUUAUCGCUUCUCGCUUUUUGAUUCUUGUAGUUCAAAUUUUUGAAGUAGCUUACCAUAUAAGCGAGAAUCUGAAAAAAUAAGUAAGGCGUUUGGUGGGAUUUUUACUUAUUUUUACCGAUAAGUUGCUUAUAUGCAGAAACAAACAAGGGUCUUAAGCAUCUGCCAGAACAACACUUUGAUGAGAUAGUAAAUGAUGCAUGGCAUCUGAUGUCUAAUAAUAAUAAUCAUACACGCUCCAGUAAGUGUGAGUGAAACGCGGGAGGGUACUUGAGCUUUUCGUGCGUGGGUCCUCACCUAGGUUCAUAUAAACUAUUAAAGCGGGCAUCCUGGUUGUUAGAUAUUUCACUUUAAGUCCAACUAUAAACCUGGAUUCUCACUUUGAAUGAACCACUUAAAUGAUAUAAAGAUCUAGACCGGAAGAUGCAAGAAGUCGUAGCUAGCAAGGAGCUUCAACAUUGGUACAGAAUUUGUGCAGCAACUUAGAUCUUACUCAUCGUCUAAAAACUUAGAUCUUACACGAUUGAUGGUUACUCGACUCAUCCAAUUGAGACUUAGUUUUGCAGGGUUUUAUGUUUAUGUGUUUUUUGAACUUUGUUAGUGGUUGUUGCCGAUACACUAGAUGGAAAAAAUCGUGUAUUGAAGACCCUAUUAGUGCUGGUUGCAAUAAGGAAGUGUACGUAUAAGAUUUGGGAGCAGCCACCAGUAUGUUGAUGGCAGUUAGCGCGCCAAUUCGUGAACCGCAAGCACACAGAUCAGUUGUAGCUUUUUUCUUAAAGUAUUCCAUCAAGGUUUAUCAAUCCGUGGAACAAGUGGAUUGCUGUCUCUCACUUUAUACCAAUCUUGCUAACGAAAUUGAGUGUAUGUAUUGUGUAGAGAGACAAACUACAUUAAUAAUAGAGAUUAAGGCAAUAUAGUAAAGGUUAACACAAGAUAGAUGAUAGAGAUAAAUAUAAGCGUUCCCUCCCUAGGAUCUAGGUUCAUAAAAAUAUGCAUCUAAUACACAGAUGGGUGCUACCCUCACCAGCUAUCAAAGUGGUUACGUGCUCGCUCGGCCUUUUUCCCACUGCAUACUGUCACUACACAAGGAUAAUCAAUCACCUCGCUCACACACACUAUAUCGAAGCAUCCGCAGAGUUAAGCUAAUCACCACGAUUACCAGAAGCUCUACUAAGAACAUAUGUUGUAUAGAAUAGAGAUCUCAUAUAUGUAAACAAAGCAUCGCAACGAUAUAGAUCAUGAUGCAUUAAUGGGCAUAAAGAACAUGUAGCAGUUACAUAUCAAGGACCAUAUCAACCCUAGGGAUGAACAAACGCUUUCCCCAUGAUCUUACACAUGUUGACGAAUAAAGGGGGUAAGGAGCACCUGGAGAACACCCUAACCGAAGACGAAGACGAGGGGACGCAUGAGGGCCUCAUCGGCCUGGGGCACCCUAGGAUCGGCCUAGGGGUUUCCUCUCUCCUUUGGAAGUCCCCUUCGAUGACAAAGCUCCUGAUCAGAUCUAAAUCCCUAUUUCUUCUCUUGUGGCGGCGGCGGCGGCUAGGUCUAAACUCGUUAGGAUCCCGCCUCCUUGUUGAAAGUCCUUGGUAUUUAUAGUUGGUAGCAUCGGUUAGGGUGCCUUUGAAGCCAAGUUUUUUGAAAAUAAAUUUAGGAACGUCGUGGGCUUCCUUUUGGUGAAAGGGCGCAACGAUUGGGGCCAGAAAUGGGCCACCUGGUCCUGUAUGGGCCGAUCAGCACACCCUCUAUUGGACUCCAAUGCCCAAGCACUUCAUAUGAAAGUUGUACAUCUCGUCGAGCCAUGCAAUUUUUCCUGUAAAUUUGUCCCAAUCGGAGUUCGGAUGAGGAAGAUAUGGCCCGUACAAGUCUGCGGGCUUGCAAUUCAAUGUUCGUGUUUGGGCCUUCCAAUAUCCAAAGUCCAAGCCCAAGUUCAACCUAUAGAAAAACACUUCAUUUAUGUCGUAUUUCCUGUGAUUUUACAAUAUGAUCCAAAACACAAUACAUAUAUAAAUAUGGGGUUAUUUCAGGUGCCAAGUGGUGGAUUAAUAUAAGAAUAUGCCUGAAAAUACUAGUUAAAUAUCACUAAAAGUGUGUCAAUAAUGAGCGUCAACACAGUACAUGGUAAACAAUGAAUUUGUGCAGUCAAAAGAGGUACAACAAUGGAUUUAUGUAGCAACUUAAAUCUUACAUGAUGAUUGAUGGUCACUCAGACUCUGGUUUUCUCAUAUCAAGAUGAGACUUAGUUUUGCAAGGUUUUAUGUUCAUGUGUUUUUUGAACUUGGUUAGUGGUUGUUGCCGAUACACUAGAUGGAAAAAUCAUGUAUUGAAUAAGGAGAGUUCUUUUAACAUACAAAGACCCCAUUAGUAUUGGUUGCAAUAAGGAAUUGUACAUAUCAAAUUUGGGAGUGGGCACCAGUACAUCAUAACAUGAUGAAUUUGUGCAGUCAAGAGAGGUACAAUGAUGAAUUUGUGCAGCAACUUAGAUCUUACAUGAUGAUUGAUGGUUACUCAGACUCCAGUUUUCGCAUAUCCAGCUGAGACUUAGUUUCAUAGGGUUUUAUGUUUGUGUGUUUUUUGAACAUUAUUAGUGGUUGUUGCUGAUAUAUUAGAUGUGGAAAAAAAAUCAUGUAUUGAAUAAGGAGUUGUUUUAGGAUAUGAAGACGCUAGUAGUGGUGGUUGCAAUAAGGAAUUGUACAUAACAUAUUUGGGAGCAGCUAGCCACCAAUACAUCAUAACAUAUACCAAUCUCCGGUCAUAAAAGCCUUGGAGUCACCAUCAAUGGACAUGUCAUCCAUAAGGGACUCUUUUUUGCUCAAGUCGAUUGGAAUAGUCUUGAGCGAGCUUCAUUUCACAGAGGCUGGUUGCAAUUUGCCAUAAAAAGAAUGACUUAAUCAGAACAUGUUGGUAGCUGAAGGCAUUCAGACCAAUGCUGAUUUGCUUGCUGGUCACUGGGACACAGUGAUGUGAUCAAGGUCUACUAGCAGAUAAGGGCCCUAGAAGUUUUUGGAACGGAGACCGCAAGUAUGUCAAAACUUUUGCUUUCACCAUCUUCGAAAGCUUGAUGGCGUGCAUUGCUGUGCUUGACGCCGGUGAUAUCACCUCGGGUAAUGGUAGCAAUACAAAUAUAAUUUCUAAGUUUUAAGCAUUCAAUCAUGAGAUCAUGUGACUAUCGAUUGAGAUAUGUGUUAUCUCUCAAUCACUUUCUAUCACCGUCGGAUCUUGAUCCAAGGACCGGGAUCCACGCCCUCUUCCUUCUUAUCCUUUCGUGUCGCACGCUGUCUUCGUCUUCCUCUUGCCCGCCGCCAGCCUGCUGUAACAUCCGCAAAAUCAUCAACUAAAAUCACCCGUUAAAAAUCGCUUUCAAAAUCUUUCUACCGCUGAGCUCCCGGAAAUCAAAAAUCUUCCCGGCAAUUUCGCCGUCCCGGCACCCAAGCCGAUCUCCAUCAUUUUAUCCGUGCCCGCACUUUCCGCCGCGUGCUGUCGUCAGACGCCGCGCACGUGCCCCGACCACGUGCCGCGAACGCCGCCGGUCCCCCUCUUUUUCUUUCCCUUUUCCCCACCCCUUUUCUUUUUCUUUUUCCUUCUUCCUUUCUUUUUCUUCUUUCUUCUUCCUGCCUCCUUCUUCUCUCUCCUCCUUCUUUCUUCUUCCUGGCACCCGCACCACCGGCCCCAGCUCCUUAACUCCCCCCGGAGCUGCCUUUACUGGCGCCACGCCGCUCGGCCUCCGCGCGCCUGGGGCCCGCCGCCCGGCCCGGCGCCGACCACGCCACCACCUCCCUCGGGCAGCGCGCCCGACCCGGCCCCCGGUCGCCUGCACCGCCCACUCCGGCGUCCGGUCGCCCCGGCCCCGCACGCCGCCCCUCCUGCGCCGGCCGCCUCGGCCCCGCUCCACGCCGCCCGCCGCCGGCCCCUACCUUCCCGCUCCCGGCCCCUACCUCCCCGCCACGGCACGCCACCGGUGCCGUGCCGCCGGCCGCCGCCGGCCCUUGCCGGUCCCCUACCGCCAGCGCCCUCCCCGUCGCCUAUAAAAACCGCCCGGUUUUCCCGCACUCCCCAUCCACCAACACCACCACUCACCGCCCCCCCCCCCCGCGCGCCCGGCCACCGCCGCCGGCCGCAACCCCGCCGCCGUGCGCCAACUGCCGCCGCCGCUACCGCUUUGACCGCCACCGACCGCCCCCUCCCAUUCUCCAAGCCCCAAGGUAAUGGGCAAAAUGGGGUCUCCACAUCUUCCUCCGCCGCCCCCGACCCUCGGCUCGCCGCCGGCGAGGCCCGGUCGGCCGGCCGCCGCCGGUCAACCCCAUCCCUCUCUCCUCUCCAAGUUCCUGGAGAAGAAAAGGAGAAUGCUCUGGAUUUUGGAUCUGACCCCCACUUUUUCCCAAAUUACACACAAGUCCUUCCACCACUCUGAUAAACCUAUUCGCGGAUAAGCCCCUCCACCUCCAAAAGUAUUCACAAAUAGGUCCCUGGUUUAUCACAAAUCGGUCCUAAACCUCCUUUUAAGCCCUUAAACCAUGUUUAACCCGUCAUUUCAUGCGCCAAACUCCCUCCAAUUGAUCCCAAAUUUUACCACAUCAUCCUCCAGAAUACUUCCACCGACCCAUAUCCAAAUUUCCCAAAAAUAAUCUUUCUACCUAUUUUCCGUUCACGUUUUCUGUUCGGAGCUCACGGUUAAAAACCGAUCUUUCUUUUAUUUAUUUGUGUGUCCGUUUGUGUAUGUCGUAGAUCGCGGAUUGCCCGAGGAGGAUCCCGAGUAGGAGUUUGACCACGAGCCCAAGCCCGAGGACCAGCAGCACGAGCCAGAACUCCCAGAAGGCUUUGAAGACGGCAAGUCCAAUCUCACCCUUUGAUGCAUACUUAAUACCUAGUUUUUCAAACACAACCUAUUGGCCUGUUUUAUAAAAUGCAUAUUAUUUUAUUGCAAGACAUGGUUGGAUAGCCACCCCUUGAUUGUUAUGAACUUUCCUUGUUGUCCUAUGGUUGUUUCUAAAUAUGACCCGCUCUAUUUAGACGAUAACCACUGCUAGAACGCUUAGGAAAUUGCUACUCAACUACAAUCAUUAUUACAACGGUUUAUUCGGAAAAUAAAUAUGUGUGUGUGUGUGCAAUUGAGAAAAAUGGUUGUUCCGGGUUCAAAGGAAAGGAAUUGUGUAGACGAGAUGGAUGGGUGUUUCUUGUGUGAAAUGUCAGGAUGUUGUGCUCGUACCUUAGUGGUUGAGCAAAGUCGGGAGAUAUCCAUCUUGUCAUGGUUAAGGACCGAGUUGAUGUGUCAUCUUGCCUAAUUCAACCAUCGUGCAACCACUCGACCGUUGUAUGGGCAACGGCUUAGCAUAAAUCCCACUAGCUGGAUUGUUAGUCCUCAGGGGUGCUGGUGAGCAACGGGAGCCCAUGGAAAAGGAGUAAGAUCUUGGUGACUUAGGUCCCGGUUACGGUCUCGUGGAUGAGCCGUGAACCCCUUCGGUGCUUCCGUAAGGGCUAGCCAGUCUUAGUUAAGGUGGGUAAUGGCUUUGUUAGGACCCGCACCGGAACUAAGGUGAUCGUGCUGCGGUACCCUACUUGUGGGAAAAGUGUACAACCUCUGCAGAGUUAAAACCUAUCCGGGUAGCCGUGUCCACGGUAUUGGACGAGUUACAGCUUGGUCACAUAACUAGUACUUGGGCAUGGAUGGUCACAUGUGUGUGUGUGUGUGUGUGUGUGUGUGUGUGUUGGAUUUUGGAAGUGUCCGGCAGCUGUGCCGUGCGCUAUGGCUGACGGGGAGUCCGAUAGCGAUAAAACUUGGCUCCUUUGUGGAGGAUCAACCCCACUUAAUGUUUCGGUUACUAAAGAAAAGCUUUACGAAAAUCUGCUUGAAAAUGAGCCCUUGCAUGUGUUGAAAAUCUAGCUUUAUUGCAAAUAAACUCUAGCCUAUCCUUGUUAUAUCCUGUGCAUAUACUUGCUUGUAUCCCCCUCCGUGGAUGGGGUUGGACUUGUUGAGUACGUUCGUACUCACCCUUGCUUCGUUACUACAGAGGAAGACCCGGACUUCAUCGCCGAAGACCUUGAGUAGAGGUUGUGUCCGCACCCAACGCUACCUGUGGUGUUGGCCUUUCCAAGAUGCUGUUGCUGCCGUGUAGUCCCGAGUGCUGUCUUUUGGCAGUCGCUUGGUUAGCUGCUGUUGUUUAUUUACUUCUUAUCACUGCGUGGCUUUCACGCCUACUCCCUCGGGAGUUGUACGGUAACUGAAUUAUCUGUCGAAUAAAUGUGUUAUCAGCCUCCUGAGACUGAUAUUUGUAUCACAUUUAGUCUCUACUUAUGUGGGGACGCUUCACUUGCCUUCCGCCUCGCCAGCUGUAGAGAAGUAGAUGGGAAACACCACAUGCCCUAAUGAGGGAGGGGGUGACCUCUAUAUAUAUGGCCAAUAUGGCUUGGAGUACAAGGGAUAUAUCAAGUGUACAUGGAAAUAUACACAUAUACUUCCUAAUACCCGCCCGCAGUCGAAGUGGGAGGAUCACGGAUGCACAGACUGGACCUAAACUCAGUAAACAAAGGAGUUGGCAGGCCCUUCGUCAUGAUGUCCGCGAACUGGUGAGAGGACGGCACAUGGAGGACCCGAACCUCACCCAAGGCCACCUUCUCACGGACAAAGUGAAUAUCAAUCUCGAUGUGCUUCGUGUGUCGAUGAUGCACCGGGUUGGCUGUCAUGUAGACAGUACUCACAUUGUCACAGUAGAUAACAGUAGCCAAAACAAGUGGGACAUAAAGCUCCUGAAGAAGUUGACGCAGCCAGCAACACUUUGCCAUAGCAUGAGCCACAACCUGAUACUCUACCUCAGCAUUGGAACGAGACACUAUGGUCUGGUGCUUGGAGGACCAAAGACACCAGAUUGUCAUCAAGGUAGACACAGAAGCUGGAGGUGGAGCGUCUAGAGUCUGGGCGGCCAGCCCAGUCAGCAUCGGAGUAGGCAGUCAGGGAUGGAACAGGGCCGGUGCUGAUGUGAAGCCCGGAGGAGAGCAUGCCCUUCACAUAGCGUAGGAUGCGCUUCAUCAGGGCCAUGUGGGGCUUGCGCGGGGCAUGCAUGAAGAGGCACACCUACUGAACCGCAUACGCCAGGUCAGAUCGAGUUAGAGUGAGGUACUGAAGAGCCCUAGCAAGACUCCGAUACUCAGAGCCAUCUUGGAGCUUGGUGUCGUCGUGUGCCAAAAGCUUGGCAUGAGUGUCAACGGGAGUCGCUGUAGAGUGACACUCAGCCAUGCCAGCAUGCUAAAGUAGAUCCAGGGCAUAGUGUCGCUGAGACAGGAGCAGGCCCUAGGAGAAACGUGUGACGGAGAUGCCGAGGAAGUGGUGUAGGUCGCCAAGAUCCGUCAUGGCAAACUCGGAGUGAAGAUGCCCCAUGAUGUGCCGAAGAAGAGUUGAGGAUGAGGCGGUGAGGACGAUGUCAUCGACGUAGAGCAGCAGGUAGGUGAUGCUCGGAGGUGGAGGCGACGAAGCUGAGCUAUCAAAGGAAGGAGGCGAAUUGCACCAUCUUCCAUCAGGGAUCACUCGAUUACGCAACUUAAGGCGUCUUGGUCUUGACGAGACACAAAUAAAUAGCAUACCAAAAGGGAUAUGCAGAUUGAAGUUUCUCAAUGAUGUAGAAGGAUUCCCUGUUGGUGGUAGCUGUGAUACUAGCAAUAGAAUGCAAGAUGGAUGGAAUAUGGAAGAAUUAGGACCUCUUUUGCAGUUGAGGAAGAUUCAAAUGGUUAAAUUGGAAAGGACAACUACUUUUAGUACAAAUUCAAUGCUAGUAGACAAAAUGUAUCUUAAAGAAUUAUAAGUACAGUGCACCGAACGUUUAGACGAUUCUUAUUCUAAAGAUGAAGUAAUUGACAUCAAGAGGACAUUUGAGCAGCUAAUCCCACCACACAACCUGGAAUAUCUAACUAUUUUGAGAUUCUUUGGUCGCAAUUAUCCGACAUGGUUAGGUGCUACUACCCAUUUUGUCUUCAAUGAAGUACCUGCAGCUCAUGCAUUGCAAAUUAUGUGUGCAUCUUCCACCAAUUGGUCAUCUCUCCAACUUGAAAUUUCUAAAAAUUCAGGGAGCAACUGCAGUUACCAAGAUUAGACCCGAACUUGUCUGCUGUGCGACGGGUAGUAAUACCUGGUCUUCUAUAACUUUCCCCAAGCUUGAAAUGUUGGUCAUCGUGGAUAUGCCCAACUGGGAGGAGUGGACCUUUAUUGUCGAAGAAGAAGCAAUAGGUAAAGUAGGUGAGCAAGAGGGAGAAGAUGGUGCUUUUGUGAGGCAAAAAGGGGAAAUCCCACCUCCAAGGACACAGCUCCUGCCACGUUUGAAAGAGUUGCAACUCGAUCGCUGCCCCAAACUGAGAGCUCUCCCAUGGCAGCUUGGGAAGGAGGCUACAAGCUUGACAGAGCUCCAAUUAAGAGAUGUGAGCAGCCUUUAAGUUGGUGGAGAACUUUCCUUUCCUCUCAAAGAUCCUUGUAAUCAUAAGUUGCGAAAGCCUAGAGAGUGUCUUGAACCUUCCCCAAGCGAGAGAUCUGCGGGUAACUCACUGUCCAAACUUAUGACAUGUCGAGGAAUUGGGUAAUUUGGAGCAGCUGUGGCUGGACGUGGGUAUGCAGGAC
rnacentral:lncRNA from 1 species